rnacentral:rRNA from 1 species
AUUGAACGCUGGCGGCAGGCCUAACACAUGCAAGUCGAGCGGAGCGGCGGACGGGUGAGUAAUGCCUAGGAAUCUGCCUGGUAGUGGGGGAUAACGUCCGUAAAGGGGCGCUAAGACCGCAUACUAGCAGAUGAGCCUAGGUCGGAUUAGCUAGUUGGUGGGGUAAAGGCCUACCAAGGAGACGAUCCGUAACUGGUCUGAGAGGAUGAUCAGUCACACGGGGACUGAGACACGGUCCAGACUCCUACGGAAGGCAGCAGUUGGGAAUAUUGGGCAAUGGGCGAAAGCCUGAUCCAGCCAUGCCGCGUGUGUGAAGAAGGUCUUCGGAUUGUAAAGCACUUUAAGUUGAGCGGCGUUACCAACAGAAUAAGCACCGGCUAACUUCGUGCCAGCAGCCGCGGUAAUUC